rnacentral:rRNA from 1 species
GGCGGCGUGGAUUAGGCAUGCAAGUCGAGCGAUAAGCUUUUGAAAGAUACCUCGGUUGAUUGAGAAAGUGGACAGCGGCGAAAGGGAGAGUAACGAGUAGAUACGUACCCAGGGGUUCGGGAUAGCUGCGGGAAACUGCAGGUAAUACCGAAUAAUGUCUCCGGACCAAAAAUUUAUUGCCCUCGGAUCGGUCUGCUUACUAUUAGGUUGUUGGUGAGGUAAUGGCUCACCAAGCCAAAGAUGGUUAGCGGGUGUGAGAGCAUGGCCCGUCUCACUGGGACUGAGACACUGCCCAGACACCUACGGGUGGCUGCAGUCGAGAAUCUUCCGCAAUGGACGAAAGUCUGACGGAGCGACGCCGCGUGCGGGAUGAAGGCCUUCGGGUUGUAAACCGCUGUCAUAGGGGAGGAAAUUUUGACCGAUCCUAAGAGGAAGCACAGGCUAAGUUCGUGCCAGCAGCCGCGGUAAUACGAAGGUCCCGAGCGUUAUUCGGAAUCACUGGGCGUAAAGAGUACGUAGGCGGUCAGGUAAGUCAGGUGUGAAAUCCCGGAGCUCAACUCCGGAACUGCAUCCGAUACUGCCAGACUUGAGUAAUGGAGGGGCAGGUGGAAUUCUCGGUGUAGCAGUGAAAUGCGUGGAUAUCGAGAGGAAGACCAAUGGCGAAGGCAGCCUGCUGGACAUUUACUGACGCUGAGAGACGAAGGCCAGGGUAGCGAAAAGGAUUAGAUACCCUUGUAGUCCUGGCAGUAAACGGUGCACGCUUGGUGUGGGAGGACUCGACCCCUUCCGUGCCGGAGCUAACGCGUUAAGCGUGCCGCCUGGGGAGUACGGCCGCAAGGCUAAAACUCAAAGAAAUUGACGGGGACCCGCACAAGCGGUGGAGCAUGUGGCUUAAUUCGAUGCAACGCGAAGAACCUUACCUGGGCUUGACAUGCUAGUCGUAGUCUGAUGAAAGUCGGACGUCACUUCGGGUGGACUAGCACAGGUGCUGCAUGGCUGUCGUCAGCUCGUGUCGUGAGAUGUUGGGUUAAGUCCCGCAACGAGCGCAACCCCUGUGAACUGUUGCCAGCGAGUAAUGUCGGGGACUCUGUUCAGACUGCCCAUAUUAAAUGGGAGGAAGGUGGGGACGACGUCAAGUCAGUAUGGCCCUUACGCCCAGGGCUGCACACGUGCUACAAUGCCCAGUACAAUGUGAACCGAUACCGCGAGGUGGAGGAAAUCCUGAAAACUGGGCUCAGUUCGGAUCGCAGACUGCAACUCGUCUGCGUGAAGUCGGAAUCGCUAGUAAAGGCGUAUCAGCUACGACGCCUUGAAUACGUUCCCGGGUCUUGUACACACCGCCCGUCACAUCAUGGAAGCCGGUCGCACCCGAAGUACCUGUGCUAACUUUCGAGAAGCAGGGUCCGAAGGUG